GACCCAGCCCUCAAACAGGUCAGUUUUUCAAAUAAAGAAAUCAGGCCAGGUUCAGUGGCUGAUGUCAGGGAUCUCAGCACUUUAGGAGGCUGAGGCAGGAGAAUUACUUAAGGUCAGGAGUUUGAGACCAGCCUGGGAAGCAUAGCAAGAUCCCUCUCUACCAGAAAAAUAACAAAAAUUAGCAGGGCAUGGGAGCGUACACCUGUGGUCCCAGCUACCCUGGAGGCUGAGGUGGGAGAUUCAUUGAGCUUAGGAGUUAGAGGUUAUAGUGAGCUAUAAUCAUGCCACUGCAUUCCACUCUGGAGGACAGAGUAUAGGCCCUGUCUGCUUAAAAAAAAAAAAAAAAGUGUUCAAAUUUGUUCAGUCCUUGAGGGUUAAAAAUAGCAGAGUCCUAAUUGGGUGAUUUCCAAGCCCCAACUAGAAGUCUCUGUUGGUCAACCCUUUUGGGCAACUGGUGGGAGAAGUUUUCCAACUACAGUGUCUCUAUCUUAGCUCAGAAGCACAGACAAGAGGUUAGAUAAGAAUCACAUAUUUUAAUAUGGUUCAUCAAGAGCUAUACAUGUUCACCAUGUCCCUUCCCCCAGAUUUAGUCAUUUUUACCUAUUCAAUUAUAAAUAGGAUUGGGAAAAUAGUGCUAGUCCAGGAAAAUGAGAAGAAAAAUACUGGUGAUCACUAAUAAUGUCUACCUCACUGAUAUUAAAGUUUCCUAUUAAUAAAAAUGUUGGUAUAACCAUUUAAUUUGGCAUUCUUUGAUGUAUUUGGCAGGCUAUAUGAGAAAAUAUGGGGGUGUGAUCCAGGCAUUGAUAUAUAUUGUAAAGCUAUCCAGAGGUGAUUUUCUACUGGUAUCUGCAACUUUCCCACCACUGAUAAGCAAAUAGAAGACCCUGUAAUGGGCUGGGUGUGGUGGCUCACAACUGUAAUCCCAGCACUUUGGGAGUCCAAGAUGCAUACCAAUCAUGACAAAACAAGAGCAGAAAAGUGGACUUUCAGUAAUGUGUUCAUCAGCCACAGUUUCAGAGAGUCAACAGUAAGUCUCUGAGAAUUCACCUCCACGAAGUACUUUGGGGAAAACUAUGAACCCACCAUGUAUUAUUGAAUGAAUAGUGUAAGUACUAUACUUUACUUGUUCUUGUAUAUUCUCAAAUGCUCUCACUCAUUGUGAAAUCAUAUAUAUACACACACACACACACACACACAUAUAUACAUAUAUAAAUUAGUGCUUAAUGUGAAAUAUCAACAAUUAAUAUUUGAAUUACAAGUAAUGUUAAUUUGCCUUGUAUAACUCCGAUGAUGUCAAAAGCUAAAUCAAGUAGAGACACCUUCAUUCUCAUACAGACUUGCAUCAGGUAAAAUAUUCUGAGCCCAAAUUACAGUUCCAGCCGUGUUACUUGGAUUUCUCAUCAAAUGCCCAGGAAAUUUCUAUAUUUCAAAAUCUAUUUAAUAAAAGGAAAUGUGGACAUCUCUACCA
rnacentral:lncRNA from 13 species